rnacentral:rRNA from 1 species
UACGUAGGGUGCAAGCGUUGUCCGGAAUUAUUGGGCGUAAAGAGCUCGUAGGCGGUCUGUUGCGUCGGCUGUGAAAACCCGGGGCUCAACUCCGGGCCUGCAGCCGAUACGGGCAGACUAGAGUUCGGCAGGGGAGACUGGAAUUCCUGGUGUAGCGGUGAAAUGCGCAGAUAUCAGGAGGAACACCGGUGGCGAAGGCGGGUCUCUGGGCAACAACUGACGCUGAGGAGCGAAAGCGUGGGGAGCGAACAGG